rnacentral:miRNA from 10 species
UUCUAUUAGGUUGGUGCAAAAGUAAUCGUGGUCUUUGCCAUUAAAAGUCAUGACAAAAACCACAACUGCUUUUGCACCAAUUUAAUAAA